ACAGGGAAAUAGGUUAAUAUUCCUAUGCCAGUGUGCACUCAAAGCCAACGCUUUGGGGCCGCCUGAGCCGGGCCUUCGCCCGGUCGAACUGUCGAAGUUCGUGGAAGCCGUAAUGGCACGAAGCGACCGAAUGGCAGGAUAGCGCAAGUCAGGUCAACCGAGAGCCCGUGAAAAGGCGAGCACACUGUCCGUACCGAGAUCCGACACAGGUACUCGUGGCGGCGAAAGCCAAGGUCUGUCGGGAGCAACCC
rfam:Haloterrigena limicola JCM 13563 contig_73, whole genome shotgun sequence.